rnacentral:SRP_RNA from 1 species
GCUGGGCAUGGUGGUGCAUGCCUGUAAUCCCAGCUACCUGGGAGGCUGAGUCAGGAGAAUCGCUUGAACCCAGGAGGUAGAGGUUGCAGUGAGCCGAGAUCGUGCCACUGCACUCUAGACUGGGUGACAGAGUGAGACUCCGUCUCAA